rnacentral:tRNA from 1 species
GCCUGGGUGGCUCAGUUCGUUAAGCAGCUGACUUUAGUUCAGGUCAUGAUCUCACAGUUUGUGGGUUCAAGCCCCACCUGGGGCU